UACGUAGGGUGCAAGCGUUGUCCGGAAUUAUUGGGCGUAAAGAGCUCGUAGGCGGUCUGUCGCGUCGGCUGUGAAAACCCGGAGCUCAACCCCGGGCCUGCAGUCGAUACGGGCAGACUGGAGUUCGGCAGGGGAGACUGGAAUUCCUGGUGUAGCGGUGAAAUGCGCAGAUAUCAGGAGGAACACCGGUGGCGAAGGCGGGUCUCUGGGCCGAUACUGACGCUGAGGAGCGAAAGCGUGGGGAGCGAACAGG
rnacentral:rRNA from 1 species